GGUUGUGAGAUUAUUGGCCUAAACUCUAGUCUAAAAAAGGUCAUAGGGUGUUAAAUCGCAUGAUCUUAGGAUUUAAUUUUGAUCACCAAAACACGAAUUACGUGACAGGAGUAUUCUACAACAUUAUUCAACGAUAAACGCAUCAAUCUUUCGUGCUUCUGACCUCUCAUACUAACCCUGAACUGUCAGCUGUACCGCUGACAACAUUUUAUCGAACAUCAAAUGUAGCGUAAACUACGGGAUACGUGUUUUUUUUGUAAAACUACAUUUUUAAAUUUGAUUACGCAGUACUACGAUUCAACAUGAAAAUAAUUCUGAUUUAGUUCAAUAUCUUACAUUGCUUGCAGCACAUUUGCCUGAUAGUGCUGUUUACAAAGUUAAUUAAUCGUUUGCCGAGUGAUUUAGAACCAAAUUUCGCAAAUUAAUUGCAGUUUUCAACAGUAGAGAAUAGUUAAUUUAUUAAUAGUUUGCUUAUAUAUUAGUUACAUUUAUCAGAGUUUCAAAGUGUGCUUCAAGAAUUCAAACAAAUGUGUGCUUUCUAUUUGUUCCAUAUUAUUUAAUAUUUCUGUUUAAAGAAGAACUGAAAAUAAAUUUUAUUUAUCUGAAUACUAUUUCUUAACCUAAGCAUCUGUCAAAAUUUAAUACUCAUUAUUAUUAUUUUUACAUGUGAUAUUUAUUUCGAAAAUUAAAUUUUUUUUUUUGCUAAUUAGGAAAACGCUGCUUGCGUGACAACACUGCCCCUUCUGGAAAAUAUACAUUUACAUGCCCUUGUGCCGAAGGAUUGAGUUGUGUUUCCGAAAGAGUCACACAAAAUAAAUUCGGCAAAGUCAGAAAUAAUGAGAGAUGCAGGGCUCCUUCUGCUUCAACAGUACCACCUACAGAGGGCGUAACAGAGGAAGAUCCGAAAGUGGACAGUGAUGAAAGUACUGAGGGAAGUUCUGAAGAAAAACGAUAAAGUUUUCAAUGUAUACAAUAUAUAACUGCACAGUACAAUGUACACAAUAUCUAACUGUUCAUUAUUAAAAUAAAUAAACACUGUGUGUGUAAGUUUUCUGGUUCA